rnacentral:rRNA from 1 species
AGAGUUUGAUCCUGGCUCAGGAUGAACGCUAGCGGCAGGCCUAAUACAUGCAAGUCGGGCGGCAAGUUGAGGAGUAAUCUGAGACCUAGAGCGGCGGACGGGUGCGUAACGCGUAUGCAACCUACCCUUUACCGGGGGAUAGCCCGGGGAAACCCGGAUUAAUACCCCAUAGUAUAUGAUUAUGGCAUCAUAAUUUUAUUAAAGAUUUAUCGGUAGGGGAUGGGCAUGCGUAGGAUUAGUUAGUUGGCGGGGUAACGGCCCACCAAGACUUUGAUCCUUAGGGGUUCUGAGAGGAAGGUCCCCCACACUGGCACUGAGAUACGGGCCAGACUCCUACGGGAGGCAGCAGUAGGGAAUAUUGGGCAAUGGGCGGGAGCCUGACCCAGCCAUGCCGCGUGCAGGAAGAAGGCGUUAUGCGUUGUAAACUGCUUUUAUACGGGAAGAAAAGGCCCAUGCGUGGGACAUUGCCGGUACCGUAUGAAUAAGCACCGGCUAACUCCGUGCCAGCAGCCGCGGUAAUACGGAGGGUGCAAGCGUUGUCCGGAUUUAUUGGGUUUAAAGGGUGCGUAGGCGGCUUUUUAAGUCAGCGGUGAAAGUCUGUGGCUCAACCAUAGAAGCGCCGUUGAUACUGGGAGGCUUGAGUGCCGUAUGGGUACAUGGAAUUGAUGGUGUAGCGGUGAAAUGCAUAGAUACCAUCAGGAACACCGAUAGCGUAGGCAUUGUACUGUGCGGCAACUGACGCUGAGGCACGAAAGCAUGGGUAGCGAACAGGAUUAGAUACCCUGGUAGUCCAUGCCGUAAACGAUGAUCACUCGCUGUUAUGUCCUUGAGGCGUAGCGGCCAAGCGAAAGUAUAAGUACCCCCCUGG